CUCCAGCCAGCUCUGCUUCUCGCUGCACGAAGGUCUCUGUGUCUGGCAUUUGAUGGCCCCAGCCUCAUAAGGAGCCAUAAAAAUGGAAGGGCAACUGCACCUUAAGCAUGGGCGCAGGUAGAGCCGCUGAGCUGCCGUCUCAUCCGCACCGAUGGAGCUGCGGGGCACGGAGGGAUGGUGGCAUGCAGUGGCAUGCAGUGACAGUGACAUGCCAGUCUGGUCCCGUGGAAGGAUGAGGAGCUCCACACGCUCACGGCCCUGGGAGAGCAGAGGCAGCGGUCAGGAAUGAAAACACUGACUAGUGCUAGACCUUGGCCCCCAGCGUGUCCCCGGC
rnacentral:lncRNA from 1 species